UGGGGAAUAUUGGACAAUGGGCGAAAGCCUGAUCCAGCCAUGCCGCGUGUGUGAAGAAGGUCUUCGGAUUGUAAAGCACUUUAAGUUGGGAGGAAGGGCAUUAACCUAAUACGUUAGUGUUUUGACGUUACCGACAGAAUAAGCACCGGCUAACUCUGUGCCAGCAGCCGCGGUAAUACAGAGGGUGCAAGCGUUAAUCGGAAUUACUGGGCGUAAAGCGCGCGUAGGUGGUUUGUUAAGUUGGAUGUGAAAUCCCCGGGCUCAACCUGGGAACUGCAUUCAAAACUGACUGACUAGAGUAUGGUAGAAGGUGGUGGAAUUUCCUGUGUAGCGGUGAAAUGCGUAGAUAUAGGAAGGAACACCAGUGGCGAAGGCGACCACCUGGACUAAUACUGACACUGAGGUGCGAAAGCGUGGGGAGCAAACA
rnacentral:rRNA from 1 species